rnacentral:rRNA from 1 species
CCUACGGGAGGCAGCAGUAGGGAAUAUUGGGCAAUGGAGGCAACUCUGACCCAGCCAUGCCGCGUGCAGGAAGACGGUCCUCUGGAUUGUAAACUGCUUUUGAAUGGGAAGAAUGUGCUCCUUGCGAGGGGUAAUGACGGUACCAUUAGAAUAAGCCACGGCUAACUACGUGCCAGCAGCCGCGGUAAUACGUAGGUGGCGAGCGUUAUCCGGAUUUAUGGGUUUAAAGGGUGCGUAGGCGGCUUAAUAAGUCGGUGGUUAAAAGUAGCAGCUUAACUGUUUUACAUGCCAUCGAUACUGUUGAGCUUGAGAUAUUUGGAGGCAGCUAGAAUUUCCGGUGUAGCGGUGAAAUGCAUAGAUACCGGAAGGAAUACCAAUUGCGAAGGCAGGUUGCUACGAAUAAACUGACGCUGAUGCACGAAAGCGUGGGGAUCAAACAGGAUUAGAUACCCUGGUAGUCCACGCCGUAAACGAUGAUUACUAGUUNUUGGGGUUUUAACGCCUUCAGUUGACCAAGGGAAACCGAUAAGUAAUCCACCUGGGGAGUACGCGGCAACGGUGAAACUCAAGAUUGUGNGNGNGNGNGCGAGNGAGAGAGGAGAG